rnacentral:lncRNA from 1 species
CCCUUCCAUACAAAGCGGCAUAUGAGGAUUUGAAACACUGGUAAUGCCAGUGCUGAACCUGUCAGAUGAGGCUGCAGAAGUCCCACCCGACCCAGCAGCCAGGUAAAUAUGGGGGUCAAGAGGCAGACAGGUCAGCCUGGAGCAUCAGGGGUGGGCUGGCAGAGUUCUGCUGACAGGGAAGCAAAGAACAAGCUAAACGCAGACCUUUUUCUACUCAGCCUAGAGUUCAAGCCCUGAAGACCUUGCUUUCCCGAUGUUGUCAGUGUGCUGUAGAACUUGAUGGGCUGAAAACACAGCGGCUGCCAUGAGGGUGGGCCUAUUCCAGAAGCUGGGCACAUGGGAAACGUCACCUGUCAAACAACUGCCUGGAAUGAGAUCUGCAACUGUUAGUUGGCUCUUGCCGUAAUUGAUGGACACUGCCAGUUGCUUAGACAGAUGGGAAUUAAUGCUGGUGUUCCCAUUAGAAGUUGCCAUCACAAUCGCGUUGGCGUUACUCUCCUGCGCAGAGUUGAUGUGUGUAAGCCGGUGUGUUUGGAAGGAGCAAGCACAGCUCAUACCUGCAGUCCUUCCUUCCAAUGUAUUGGAGCCGCCGAUCCAACGCAGAGCAGAUGAACUGCUUGCCAGCUUACAGAACACUUCGCAAUGGUAAGGAAAAUGCUUCAUUCCUUGACGUUCAGAGGAGCGUGGUUCAGCGAGCUGGACUGUCAUCCCCGGAGGCAUCUGUGAGCUGUAUUCAGAGGUAGGCUGAUAGAACACACAGCAGCUCAGCAGGUGU